GACGGAGGAUGCAAGCGUUAUCCGGAAUCACUGGGCGUAAAGCGCCUGUAGGUGGUCAAGUAAGUCAGCUGUUAAAUCUUGAGGCUCAACCUCAAAAUCGCAGUCGAAACUAUUCGACUAGAGUAUAGUAGGGGUAAAGGGAAUUUCCAGUGGAGCGGUGAAAUGCGUAGAGAUUGGAAAGAACACCGAUGGCGAAGGCACUUUACUGGGCUAUUACUAACACUCAGAGACGAAAGCUAGGGUAGCAAAUGGG
rnacentral:rRNA from 1 species